CCUACGGGGGGCAGCAGUGAGGAAUAUUGGUCAAUGGACGAGAGUCUGAACCAGCCAAGUAGCGUGAAGGAUGACUGCCCUAUGGGUUGUAAACUUCUUUUAUAUGGGAAUAAAAUGUUCCACGUGUGGGAUUUUGUAUGUACCAUAUGAAUAAGGAUCGGCUAACUCCGUGCCAGCAGCCGCGGUAAUACGGAGGAUCCGAGCGUUAUCCGGAUUUAUUGGGUUUAACGGGAGCGUAGGUGGAUUGUUAAGUCAGUUGUGAAAGUUUGCGGCUCAACCGUAAAAUUGCAGUUGAAACUGGCAGUCUUGCGUACAGUAGAGGUGGGCGGACUUCGUGGUGUCGCGGUGAACUGCUUCGCUCUCACGACGAACUCCGCUUGCGAUGGCAGUUCACUGGACUGCAACUGACACUGCGGCUCGAACGUGUGGGUCUCAAACCGUCUUCGCUACCCUGUAGUC
rnacentral:rRNA from 1 species